AGCUCCAAUAGCGUAUAUUAAAGUUGUUGCAGUUAAAAAGCUCGUAGUUGAACUUUUGGUAAGGUAUUAUGGUUUAGUGUUUCACUAUAACUAUAAUACUGAACCUCUUUUUGGGGGAAAUAAGAGUUUAACGGCUCUUAUUAUGAACCCGUGUUACUGUGAGGAAAUUAGAGUGUUUAAAGCAGGCAAUCGCUUGAAUACAUUAGCAUGGAAUAACAAGAUAGGACUUGAUUCUACUUGUUGGUUUCUUAGGAUCAAAAGUAAUGAUUAAUAGGGCCAGUUGGGGGCAUUAGUAUUUAGCAGUCAGAGGUGAAAUUCUUGGAUUUGCUAAAGACUAACUAGUGCGAAAGCAUUUGCCAAGGAUGUUUUCA
rnacentral:rRNA from 1 species